AUUGAACGCUGGCGGCAUGCCUUACACAUGCAAGUCGAACGGCAGCACGGGAGCUUGCUCCUGGUGGCGAGUGGCGAACGGGUGAGUAAUACAUCGGAACGUACCCAGGAGUGGGGGAUAACGUAGCGAAAGUUACACCAAUACCGCAUAUUCUGUGAGCAGGAAAGCGGGGGAUCGCAAGACCUCGCGCUCUUGGAGCGGCCGAUGUCGGAUUAGCUAGUUGGUGCGGCAAAAGCUCACCAAGGCGACGAUCCGUAGCAGGUCUGAGAGGAUGAUCUGCCACACUGGGACUGAGACACGGCCCAGACUCCUACGGGAGGCAGCAGUGGGGAAUUUUGGACAAUGGGGGCAACCCUGAUCCAGCCAUGCCGCGUGAGUGAAGAAGGCCUUCGGGUUGUAAAGCUCUUUCGGCGGGGAAGAAAUGGCAACGGCUAAUAUCCGUUGUUGAUGACGGUACCCGCAUAAGAAGCACCGGCUAACUACGUGCCAGCCGCCGCAGUAA
rnacentral:rRNA from 1 species